UUUUAUACGCCCGUCUAUGACGGGACGUAUUAUGGUAUACCCCGCGUCCGUCCGUCCGUCUGUUAAUGUCGUACGCUACGUCAAAUAUCCUUUGACAGAUUUUCUUCAAAUUUUAACACAAUCUUAAUAUUGAUAAACCCUGAUCCCCUUUCGUUUUUGACGGAAUUCUGAAUUGUCGUUCCAGAGUUAUGGGACUUUGUUCGUCAAAAUUUCGUGAUUUCAUUGAAUGUCCUACUGUAGCUAUAUAAAAAUGUUAAAGUUGUUAUAACUUUGGUAUGCUUGGACCUAGAGUCUUGAAACUUGACAUGAAGGUUGGCCAGAACUAGUAAGUAACCACUGGACAUUUCAAGGUCAUUCAUUUGAAGGUCAAGGUCACUGUGACCUUGAAUGUAAAAAUGUUAAAGUUCUUAUUUCAUGUUAUAACUUUGGUAUGCUUGUACCUAGAGUCUUCAAACUUGAAAUAAAGAUUGGCCAGUACUAGAAGAUGACCACUGGUCAUUUCAAUGUCAUUCAUUUGAAGGUCAAGGUCACUGUGACCUUAAAUGUUAAAAUGUUAAAAUUGUUAUAACUUUGGUAUGCUUGGACAUAGAGUCUUCAAACUUGACAUGAAGGUUUGCAAGCACACUUAGAUGACCACUGGUCAUUUCAAGGUCAUUCAUUCUAAGGUCAAGGUCACUGUGACCUUAAAUGUUAUUGUUGUUCAUGUAUCCUACCGUAGCUCAAAUAUCCCCCGAUGGAUUUUUUAUACGCCCGUCUAUGACGGGACGUAUUAUGGUAUACCCCGCGUCCGUCUGUCCGUCCGUCCGUCCGUCCGUCCGUCUGUUAAUGUCGUACGCUACGUCAAAUAUCCUUUGACAGAUUUUCUUCAAAUUUUAACACAAUCUUAAUAUUGAUAAACCCUGAUCCCCUUUCGUUUUUGACGGAAUUCUGAAUUGUCGUUCCAGAGUUAUGGGACUUUGUUCGUCAAAAUUUCGUGAUUUCAUUGAAUGUCCUACUGUAGCUCAAAUAUCCUUCGAUGGAUUUUUUUCAAAUUUCAACACAAUCUUAAUAUUGAUAAACCCUGAUCCCCUUUCGUUUUUGACGGAAUUCUGAAUUGUCGUUCCAGAGUUAUGGGACUUUGUUCGUCAAAAUUUCGUGAUUUCCAUGCUCAUGUACUUAUAAAAUAAACCAUGUAUUCAAAUACAAAUAAACUGAAGUAAAAAAAUGA